rnacentral:rRNA from 1 species
GACGAACGCUGGCGGCGUGCUUAACACAUGCAAGUCGAACGGAAAGGCCUGCUUUCCCUUGUGGAUUGCGGGUACUCGAGUGGCGAACGGGUGAGUAACACGUGAGUGAUCUGCCCCCAACUUGGGUAUAGGCCUGGGAAACUGGGUCUAAUUCCCGAUAGGACUGCAGGGUGGUGCCUGUGGUGGAAAACGAUUUUCUAGUGGUUGGGGAUGAGCUCGCGGCCUAUCAGCUUGUUGGUGGGGUAAUGGCCUACCAAGGCGGCGACGGGUAGCCGGCCUGAGAGGGUGGACGGCCACAUUGGGACUGAGAUACGGCCCAGACUCCUACGGGAGGCAGCAGUGGGGAAUAUUGCACAAUGGGCGGAAGCCUGAUGCAGCGACGCCGCGUGGGGGAUGACGGCCUUCGGGUUGUAAACUCCUUUCGACCGCGAGGAAGCCACCUGGUUGGAAGGGUGGUGACGGUAGUGGUAGAAGAAGCACCGGCUAACUACGUG